GACGAACGCUGGCGGCGUGCUUAACACAUGCAAGUCGAACGGUAAGGCCCUUCGGGGUACACGAGUGGCGAACGGGUGAGUAACACGUGGGUGAUCUGCCCUGCACUUCGGGAUAAGCCUGGGAAACUGGGUCUAAUACCGGCUAGGUCCCUGGGAUGCCUGUUCUGGGGUCGCAUGCUUUUGCGGUGUGGGAUGGGCCCGCGGCCUAUCAGCUUGUUGGUGGGGUGAUGGCCUACAAAGGCCGCGACGGGUAGCCGGCCUGAGAGGGGGACCGGCCACACUGGGACUGAGAUACGGCCCAGACUCCUACGGGAGGCAGCAGUGGGGAAUAUUGCACAAUGGGCGCAAGCCUGAUGCAGCGACGCCGCGUGAGGGAUGACGGCCUUCGGGUUGUAAACCUCUUUCAGCAUCGACGAAGCGAAAGUGACGGUAGGUGCAGAAGAAGGACCGGCCAACUACGUGCCAGCCGCCGCCGUAA
rnacentral:rRNA from 1 species